rnacentral:rRNA from 1 species
CCUACGGGUGGCAGCAGUGAGGAAUAUUGGUCAAUGGCCGAGAGGCUGAACCAGCCAAGUCGCGUGAGGGAAGACGGCCCUACGGGUUGUAAACCUCUUUUGUCGGGGAGCAAAGCGAACCACGUGUGGUUCAUUGAGAGUACCCGAAGAAAAAGCAUCGGCUAACUCCGUGCCAGCAGCCGCGGUAAUACGGAGGAUGCGAGCGUUAUCCGGAUUUAUUGGGUUUAAAGGGAGCGUAGGCCGGUCUUUAAGCGUGCCGUGAAAUUUUGUGGCUCAACCAUGAGAGUGCGGCGCGAACUGGAGACCUUGAGUGCGCGGAAGGCAGGCGGAAUUCGUGGUGUAGCGGUGAAAUGCUUAGAUAUCACGAAGAACCCCGAUUGCGAAGGCAGCCUGCCGCAGCGUUACUGACGCUGAAGCUCGAAAGCGCGGGUAUCGAACAGGAUUAGAUACCCUUGUAGUC